GUCAUUUCUCCGCAUUUUGAGCAGGAUCAAGUGUAGUAUCUAUUUUAAUCAAUUAAAAAUCUGAUUUGCUCUCUAAAUGAGAGCAUUAUAUCAAGCAGAUUUUUUUUAGAGCAAGGAGCUGGGAUAGGGGUUUGCUCUUUUGGCUCCAUAUACCAACCUGAUAUUGCAGUAUUUCUUUGUUAUAGAAUUU